CUCUUAUUAGGGCCUACUCGGGCCCAUACCUCAAAGAAACGCUCCCACCUGCUGCGAACAUCCCCAAACCCUCUUCCCGUUUAAGAGGCUUGGGAUGACUGCACAGUACACAAAUCUCCGCCCCAGCACCGCCGGCCGCCCCGCUGCCCUCUGGGAAAUGUAGUCCGAAGGCUCUAAUCCAGCUCUAGACGCUACCUCUCCGAUCCCAGCACGGACUUCAACUACCGAGAGGCUGGUCGGCCGACCGCCGCCAUUCAACAGCUGCCAGUGACAUCAGAGCCGCCUUCACACGAAGAGGCUACCAAGCCAAUUAGGAUGAGGCGGAAGCCAUCCAACGCAUAACUGGAGUUUACAGUGUAUAAUCAAACUUGAAAACGCCCGAACCAACCUGAGCACUAUAAAUUUGGUGAAGUAUAAGAAUUGAGGGAUUCCUGAAUUCAAUAAGCUUCUAUCUUCUAGAUGUAUUAGAUGCUGAACUACAUGAAAAUACACAAGUGAUGCAAGAGAUAAGAACACAGAAGUGAGGCUUUUGACCUCCGAGACCACUCCAGAGCCAAGUUUGGACUUUUUGUGUGAGAAUGAGUGGGACGCCGUGGACAAGUGCUCCCCAACUGUCUCCAUCCCGAAAAGCUUCCUGGUUCAGAUUUGUUUCUUCAUGCAAGGAUAGUUCCUCCCCUGCUCAUCUUGCAAAGAGUAAACAAAGCCUACUUUCCUCCACUGCAUGGAGUUAGUGCUGGCAGAACUCAUGAGACCCCUGAAUCAAAGACAGUGGACUUUAUUAUCACACAAAAAUGAAAAUGUGCAUUAUUUUCCUUUUGCCCAAGACCCACAGGGCUGAAAGAAAGGCCUCAGGGCAAAAAUAAGAAAAAGGAGAAGAGGCACAAAAGAAGUGCUCAGGGAGAAAGAAGUUCUUUGAUAAGAGAGAAGACAUGUCCUGCAAACAGAAUGCACAACUAGAAGAACAGGAAGGCAGUGCUUCUCAAGCACCAGAGGCCAUCCUUCAACGCCCCUUCGAUAGCUGCUCCAGGGGGCCCCAUUUAAUCUUGUGCAGGAAGUUUGACAUUAGUCGUCUAGUACUUUGCGUUCUGGUGUCAGAAGAUUGGUAUGGGGUACAGGGCGGCUCAGCUUGGUCUGUUUCACCCUCAGGUGCAGCUGUUCUGUGCUCCUGGUUAAUACACAUGUCUCUUCAGUUGGUAGGUUGUGCCCACGGCUCCAACCACAAGAGCCAUGCCCUUAUCUCCUACUACGCUGUCUCGUGGAUUACAUAAGAAGAGAAAGAACAACUUCCCAUCUUGUAAACAAAAACAGUCAGCAAACUAUGAUAGUAAACUCAUGAAUGUCAAGUAAACUUUGCUACAAUUUCAACACAUUUCACAGCUUCUUUUUAGAUACAAGUGUUAUAAACCAUGGCAAAAACAUAUAUACUUUAAAAUUUCAGUCUGCUUUA